rnacentral:rRNA from 1 species
GACGAACGCUGGCGGCGUGCCUAACACAUGCAAGUCAGGGAGAAAAGGGUAGCAAUAUCCUGAGUAAACCGGCGAACGGGUGAGUAACACGUAGGCAACUUACCUUGAGAACGGGAAUAACCCCGGGAAACCGGGGCUAAUACCCGAUGUUAUUCCGUUGUAGCAUUGCAAUGGAAUAAAAAGCCCGCAAGGGCGUCACAAGAUAGGCCUGCGUCCCAUUAGAUAGUUGGCGGGGUAACAC